UACGUAGGGUGCAAGCGUUAAUCGGAAUUACUGGGCGUAAAGCGUGCGCAGGCGGUUUUGCAAGCCGGGUGUGAAAUCCCCGGGCUCAACCUGGGAAUGGCAUUUGGGACUGCAAGGCUCGAGUGCGGCAGAGGAGACUGGAAUUCCUGGUGUAGCAGUGAAAUGCGUAGAUAUCAGGAGGAAUACCGAUGGCGAAGGCAGGUCUCUGGGCUGACACUGACGCUCAUGCACGAAAGCGUGGGGAGCAAACAGG
rnacentral:rRNA from 1 species